GACGAACGCUGGCGGCGUGCUUAACACAUGCAAGUCGAACGAAGUGGCGAACGGGUGAGUAACGCGUAAUCAACCUGCCCUUCAGCGGGGGACACCAGUUGGAAACGACUGCUAAUACCGCAUAAUGCAGGAGGGGAUUGCGUCUGAUGAGCUAGUUGGAUGGGUAACGGCCCACCAAGUCGAGUAUCAGUAGCCUGUCUGAUGGGAUGAACGGCUACAUGGGGAAUGAGACACGGCCCAGACUCCUACGGGAGGCAGCAGUGGGGAAUCGUCCGCAAUGGACGAAAGUCUGACGGAGCAACGCCGCGUGAGUGAUGACGGCCUUCGGGUUGUAAAGCUCUGUUAAUCGGGACGCGGUACCGGAAUAGAAAGCCACGGCUAACUACGUGCCAGCAGCCGCGGUAAUAC
rnacentral:rRNA from 1 species